CAGUCGCCCGGGAAUACGGAGGGGGCUAGCGUUGUUCGGAAUUACUGGGCGUAAAGCGCACGUAGGCGGCUUUGUAAGUCAGAGGUGAAAGCCCGGGGCUUAACCCCGGAAUUGCCUUUGAGACUGCAUCGCUUGAAUCCAGGAGAGGUGAGUGGAAUUCCGAGUGUAGAGGUGAAAUUCGUAGAUAUUCGGAAGAACACCAGUGGCGAAGGCGGCUCACUGGACUGGUAUUGACGCUGAGGUGCGAAAGCGUGGGGAGCAAACAGGAUUAGAUACCCCGGUAGUCCCUGUCUCUUAUACC
rnacentral:rRNA from 1 species